UCAUGCCUACGGGGCGCAGCAGUGGGGAAUAUUGGGCAAUGGGCGCAAGCCUGACCCAGCAACGCCGCGUGAAGGAAGAAGGCUUUCGGGUUGUAAACUUCUUUUGUCAGGGACGAAGCAAGUGACGGUACCUGACGAAUAAGCCACGGCUAACUACGUGCCAGCAGCCGCGGUAAUACGUAGGUGGCAAGCGUUAUCCGGAUUUACUGGGUGUAAAGGGAGCGUAGACGGAAAGGCAAGUCAGAAGUGAAAACCCAAGGCUCAACCAUGGGACUGCUUUUGAAACUGUCAAACUAGAGUACGGG
rnacentral:rRNA from 1 species